GAUGAAGAACGUAGCGAAAUGCGAUAAGUAAUGUGAAUUGCAGAAUUCAGUGAAUCAUCGAAUCUUUGAACGCACAUUGCGCCCCUUGGUAUUCCGAGGGGCAUGCCUGUUCGAGCGUCAUUAUAACCCCUCAAGCUCAGCUUGGUGUUGGGGCCUGCUGCACUGGCAGCCCUUAAAAUCAGUGGCGGCGCCAUCUGGCUCUAAGCGUAGUAAUUCUUCUCGCUAUGGAGUCCUGGUGGAUGCUUGCCAGCAACCCCCAAUUUUUCUAUGGUUGACCUCGGAUCAGGUAGGGAUACCCGCUGAACUUAAGCAUAUCAAUAAGCGGAGGA
rnacentral:misc_RNA from 1 species